rnacentral:tRNA from 1 species
GCAUUCGUUGUGUAAUGCUCAUCACACUCGGCGCAUAUUCGAGAGGUCCGAGGUUCGAGUCCCGGCGAAGGUA